ensembl:lncRNA
AACUGAAUAGUGGUGGACGGGGGUUUGUGCAGUAAAGCAGUAUAUAGUUCUGAUAAGCUCCGCCCCCUGAUCACUGAAAACAAACCCCCAGAACUCAACAAAUCCGGGUUUGGGUCUGAGUCAGAGUAGCUGGAUCAAGCAUGAAGCUUUUCCUCUCAAAGCCAGACUCAGUGCGGAUAAAACCCUGUCAAUCACAGCGCAUAUGAAAACAUGAGAGGUUUCAGAAGAGCAUCUGUGAGAUUUACACUGUAUAUGACAGCUUUAUGUGAGGAACAGGCCCAAAUUUUGAUGGCGCUUUUUGGCUGACCGUCGUUCACUUUCAUUCUAUGAAAAAAAAUAACUCUUAUGUUCCACAGAAGAAAAUCCCACAGGUUUCGUGUGACAUGAAGGAUUGGGAAAAAUUCACACUGAGUCAAUACAUGAGCUGAAAUUAAAUCAGAACGACUGGAAGAUGAAUUUACUGAAGGAAUCAAAGAGUCACGCAAAAGAGGAAUGCCGUUAGUCCAU